rnacentral:rRNA from 1 species
UACGAAGGGGGGCUAGCGUUGUUCGGAAUUACUGGGCGUAAAGCGCGCGCAGGCGGCUCUUCAAGUCAGGGGUGAAAGCCCCAGAGCUCAACUCUGGAACUGCCUUUGAGACUGAAGAGCUUGAGUACGGGAGAGGUGAGUGGAAUUCCCAGUGUAGAGGUGAAAUUCGUAGAUAUUGGGAAGAACACCGGUGGCGAAGGCGGCUCACUGGCCCGUUACUGACGCUCAGGCGCGACAGCGUGGGGAUCAAACAGG